ACGCUGGCGGCACGCCUAACACAUGCAAGUCGAACGAAGUAGCAAUACUUAGUGGCAGACGGGUGAGUAACAUGUAGGUAUCUGCCCUUUGGCCUGGAAUAACACGAGGAAACUUGUGCUAAUACUGGAUAAGUCUUCACGGAGAAAGCUUUAUGCACCAUUGGAUGAGCCUGCACUUGAUUAGUUUGUUGGUGGGGUAAUGGCCUACCAAGACUUUGAUCAAUAGCUGAUUUGAGAGGAUGAUCAGCCACAUUGGGACUGAGACACGGCCCAAACUCCUACGGGAGGCAGCAGUGGGGAAUCUUGCACAAUGGAGGAAACUCUGAUGCAGCGAUGCCGCGUGAGUGAAGAAGGCCUUUGGGUUGUAAAGCUCUUUCGUCGGGGAAGAAAAUGACUGUACCCGAAUAAGAAGGUCCGGCUAACUUCGUGCCAGCAGCCGCGGUAAUACGAAGGGACCUAGCGUAGUUCGGAAUUACUGGGCUUAAAGAGUUCGUAGGUGGUUGAAAAAGUUGGUGGUGAAAUCCCAGAGCUUAACUCUGGAACUGCCAUCAAAACUUUUCAGCUAGAGUUUGAUAGAGGAAAGCAGAAUUUCUAGUGUAGAGGUGAAAUUCGUAGAUAUUAGAAAGAAUACCAAAUGCGAAGGCAGCUUUCUGGAUCAUUACUGACACUGAGGAACGAAAGCAUGGGUAGCGAAGAGGAUUAGAUACCCUCGUAGUCCAUGCCGUAAACGAUGUGUGUUAGACGUUGGAAAUUUAUUUUCAGUGUCGCAGCGAAAGCAAUAAACACACCGCCUGGGGAGUACGACCGCAAGGUUAAAACUCAAAUGAAUUGACGGGGACCCGCACAAGUAGUGGAGCAUGUGGUUUAAUUCGAAGAUACGCGCAGAACCUUACCAACACUUGACAUGUUCGUCGCGACUUUAAGAGAUUAAAGUUUUCGGUUCGGCCGGACGAAACACAGGUGCUGCAUGGCUGUCGUCAGCUCGUGUCGUGAGAUGUUGGGUUAAGUCCCGCAACGAGCGCAACCCUCACUUUUAGUUGCCAUCAUUAAGUUGGGCACUCUGAAAGAACUGCCAGUGAUAAGCUGGAGGAAGGUGGGGAUGACGUCAAGUCCUCAUGGCCCUUACGUGUUGGGCUACACACGUGCUACAAUGAUAUUUACAACAGGAAGCAAAACGGCGACGUUAAGCAAAUCCUCAAAAAAUAUCUCAGUUCGGAUUGCACUCUGCAACUCGAGUGCAUGAAGCUGGAAUUACUAGUAAUCGUGGAUCAGCGUGCCACGGUGAAUGCGUUCCCGGGUCUUGUACACACCGCCCGUCACACCAUGGGAGUUGGUUCUACCUUAAGGCAAGGUUUAAAAUCCUUGACCACGGUAUAGUCAGCGACUGGGGUGA
rnacentral:rRNA from 1 species